UAUUUAAAUCUGAAGUCAAAGCGCCACGUUUCAAAUUACCAUAAAUUAAAUACUCAUUAAGUGGUAAGAAAAAAUUUAGCUUAUCUUUACAUGUAGGGUUUUUUCCCCUUUAUUUGUUUUUGGUUUGGGUUUAAAUAUCAUUUAGAAAACAAAACAAAAUUAUUUCCGUCUUCCAUCUCUUCUCUUCAACCAGAUUAUUCACAAAACAUUUCUUUCUCCAAAGGCAAAAGAUAAUGUUUUCAUGUCAAUGCCUGUGAGAUACGACAAAUACCUAAGCGAGCAACAAUCAAACAAGUAAACAAGCUAAAAACUUUUGUUUAAUUAUUUUUUUUCCGAAGAGUUUAGCACUGAAGUAUCUGAGGCUGGUUUUAACUCUUGUGUGGUUUUAUUUUGACAUAGUACGUACAAGAGUGAAGAAAGGGAAGAUGAACAAUUCACAACCCGAGUCUGGUUCGUCUUCAU
rnacentral:lncRNA from 1 species